rnacentral:rRNA from 1 species
UACUGAGUUUACGCUCUAUAACCCUUUGUGAACAUACCUAUAACUGUUGCUUCGGCGGGUAGGGUCUCCGUGACCCUCCCGGCCUCCCGCCCCCGGGCGGGUCGGCGCCCGCCGGAGGAUAACCAAACUCUGAUUUAACGACGUUUCUUCUGAGUGGUACAAGCAAAUAAUCAAAACUUUUAACAACGGAUCUCUUGGUUCUGGCAUCGAUGAAGAACGCAGCGAAAUGCGAUAAGUAAUGUGAAUUGCAGAAUUCAGUGAAUCAUCGAAUCUUUGAACGCACAUUGCGCCCGCCAGCAUUCUGGCGGGCAUGCCUGUUCGAGCGUCAUUUCAACCCUCAAGCUCUGCUUGGUGUUGGGGCCCUACAGCUGAUGUAGGCCCUCAAAGGUAGUGGCGGACCCUCCCGGAGCCUCCUUUGCGUAGUAACUUUACGUCUCGCACUGGGAUCCGGAGGGACUCUUGCCGUAAAACCCCCAAUUUUCCAAAGGUUGACCUCGGAUCAGGUAGGAGUACCCGCUGAACUUAAGCAUAUCAAUAAGCGGAGGAAAA